GCUGCACUCAAAAACUUAAAGGUUGAGUGCUUGUCUGAAUAUUUUUUCCACCAGUAAGAAUCGUUCACACUUUUGAGCGAGCAAAAAUGGCACUCUGGCUAAACAUCUUGUCCUUGUUAGUUUUCCUUGGAGGUGCCCAAUCUGAGGUUCAGUUGGUGGAAACUGGAGGGGAUGUGAGAAGACCUGGAGAAUCCCUCCGUCUCUCCUGCCAAGGAUCUGGAUUCACCUUCAGCAGCUACUGGAUGAGCUGGAUAAGACAGGCUCCAGGGAAAGGAGUGGAAUGGGUGGCAAGGAUACGCAAUGAUGCCGCAUAUACUUACUACCCUGACAAAGUGAAGGGCCGCUUCACCAUCUCCAGGGACAAUGCCAAAAGCCAGCUGUAUCUGCAAAUGAACAGCCUCAAAGCUGAAGACACGGCAGUCUAUUACUGUGUGAGAGACACAGUGAGAGGAACUAUAUGUGAAGUCACGCAAAAACUGCCCAUUUCACACAGCAGCCCUGCAAAUUUCUUUUGUAAUAAAAAACCACUUUAUUCUCCUCAGAUUCUCCUUUCAUAUCUUCAUUCGGCACUUCCACCUUCAUCCAUUUGGUCUAUAGAAAUGAGCUUCUUUUUACUUCAUGUAUUGAGCACCACACUUCAAUUUCAUCGUCAAUCCAGUUUAAUAUUUACUCAGUCUACUCAUUCUUGA